GAUGAACGCUGGCGGCGUGCCUAAUACAUGCAAGUCGAGCGAACAGACGAGGAGCUUGCUCCUCUGACGUUAGCGGCGGACGGGUGAGUAACACGUGGAUAACCUACCUAUAAGACUGGGAUAACUUCGGGAAACCGGAGCUAAUACCGGAUAAUAUAUUGAACCGCAUGGUUCAAUAGUGAAAGACGGUUUUGCUGUCACUUAUAGAUGGAUCCGCGCCGCAUUAGCUAGUUGGUAAGGUAACGGCUUACCAAGGCAACGAUGCGUAGCCGACCUGAGAGGGUGAUCGGCCACACUGGAACUGAGACACGGUCCAGACUCCUACGGGAGGCAGCAGUAGGGAAUCUGCCGCAAUGGGCGAAAGCCUGACGGAGCAACGCCGCGGGAGUGAUGAAGGUCUUCGGAUCGUAAAACUCUGUUAUUAGGGAAGAACAAAUGUGUAAGUAACUAUGCACGUCUUGACGGUACCUAAUCAGAAAGCCACGGCUAACUACGG
rnacentral:rRNA from 1 species